rnacentral:lncRNA from 1 species
CUCACCACAGUCUCUCGAAGAGGAAGCUUGACUUGGUGGGUACACCACUACGUCCGUACCAAAGCCAAACCACGAGCACCAGGUUAGUGCACUUCGACGUCGUGAAUCGUACACACUAUUCGCUAGAUAUAUACCCAUAUCUCUAUCAAUCUAGUUAGCACUGAGACAUACGCGGUCGUCAUCUGGUUCCUCUCGCGAGCCAUCAGUUUUAGUGAUCGUUUGUUUUUCGAGUUUCGGAAAGUGUUUAUCGCAUCGCGGUCUAUCCUGCAACAGCUAUCAGCAGGAAUAUUUUGUGUGAAAGUAUUUCGAUUGUUGCUUUUUUGGAGCGCGGGUGCCGUUAAUCGAUUGCUUCUGUCGUUGCACAAUUUGUUCUUUUCAGUUAGUUCAAAGGAAUUUCUUAGUUUCUACGUUGGAUUUUGUUACCGAGCUGUUCGUCGACGACAUCACAAAAACAAUUGCAAGCGCGUCCAUCCGUAGCAACCUUGAUCCAAAAAUUGAAAUGGGUCACUGCCUCUCACUUGCGACGAAUAUUACAACGUAAAUGUGAAUCUUCAAAGUUCUCGGAGUGUGAAGAAAAAUAAAAGAUAAAAAGAAGUAUUCAAGUUGGACUGAAGAAUACAGUGCGAACGAAAAAA